CAAAGAUUAAGCCAUGCAUGUCUAAGUAUAAGCAAGUCUAUACAGCGAAACUGCGAAUGGCUCAUUAUAUCAGUUAUAAUUUACUUGAUUGUAUCCGUUACUAAUUGGAUAACCGUGGUAAUUCUAGAGCUAAUACAUGCGCGAAGGGCCCGACUUUAUUGGAAGGGCAGCAUUUAUUAGAUAUAAAGCCAGUGCACUCUUUUAGGGUGGUACGGGUGAUUCAUAAUAACUGAGCAACCGUUGGCCGUAUGGCUACGGUGGAUCAUUCAAAUUUCUGCCCUAUCAGCUUUCGAUGGUACGGUAGUGGCCUACCAUGGCGGCAACGGGUAACGGGAAAUCAGGGUUUGAUUCCGGAGAGGGAGCCUGAGAAACGGCUACCACUUCUAAGGAAGGCAGCAGGCGCGCAAAUUACCCAAUGCUAAUUCAGCGAGGUAGUGACAAUAAAUAACAAGCCCGGGCCCUCGUGGUCUGGGCAUUGCAAUGAGUACAACUAAACCCCUUAACGAGGAUCAAUUGGAGGGCAAGUCUGGUGCCAGCAGCCGCGGUAAUUCCAGCUCCAAUAGUGUAUAUUAAAGUUGCUGCAGUUAAAAAGCUCGUAGUCGGAGUAUGGGAGUGGGGGGCGAGGGUCCUAUGGGGUAGUUUAGUUUGGGUAGGGCUUCUUUAUGGAGUGCUACUUGGACGGCUGCAUCUGUAGUGGCCUGCUAUUGCCCUCCCCCCAAGCAUUCCUAUGCCUGGCGCGGUGUCCCAAGGGCGCCGUACCGCUCGGGCGUAGGACGUUUACCUUGAAAAAAUUAGAGUGUUCAAAGCAGGCAUACUGGCUUGAAUAGAUUAGCAUGGAAUAAUGGAAUAGGACCGACGGUCUUGUUUUGUUGGCUUUACGGGACCGGGGUAAUGAUUAAUAGGAACAGAUGGGGGCAUUUGAAUUGGGCGGUUAGAGGUGAAAUUCUUGGAUCCGCCCAAGACAGCCGGAUGCGAAAGCGUUUGCCCAGUAUGUGUCCAUUGAUCAAGAACGAAAGCCAAGGGAGCAAAGUCGAUUAGAUACCGACGUAGUCUUGUGCUGUAAACGAUGCCGACCGGGGAUAGGGCGAGGAUAUAGAUCCGGCUCUGGACUCUGCGAGAAAUCACAAGUGUUUGGGUUCCGGGGGGAGUAUGGUCGCAAGGCUGAAACUUAAAGGAAUUGACGGAAGGGCACCACCAGAAAUGGAGCCUGCGGCUUAAUUUGACUCAACACGGGAAAACUCACCAGGUCCAGACUUGUGAGGAUUGACAGAUUGAUAGCUCUUUCUUGAUUCAUAGGAAGGUGGUGCAUGGCCGUUCUUAGUUCGUGGAUUCAUUUGUCUGGUUAAUUCCGAUAACGAACGAGACCUUAGCCUGCUAACUAGGCCGCCUAUUCCAUUAUGGAAUGGGAGAUGGGCCUUCUUAGAGGGACUGCCGGUUUCAAGCCGGCGGAAGUUUGAGGCAAUAACAGGUCUGUGAUGCCCUUAGAUGUUCUGGGCCGCACGCGCGCUACCUGAUAGGGCCAGCGAGUUGGUAGGAGUUCCUUUAUGGGCUUCUAUUCAGAGCCUCCUUGCCUGAGAAGGCCGGGUAAUCUUGGCAACCCCUAUCGUGCUGGGGAUAGUCCUUUGCAAUUUUCGGACUUGAACGAGGAAUUUCUAGUAAUCGCAAGUCAUCACCUUGCGAUGAUUACGUCCCUGCCCUUUGUACACACCGCCCGUCGCUACUACCGAUUGAAUGGCUUAGUGAGUCAUUUGGACCUGGCUGGACACGCCCUUACCGGCUGUCUAGCCUUGGGGAAGACUGGCAAACUUGGUCAUUUAGAGGAAGUAAAAGUCGUAACA
rnacentral:rRNA from 1 species